UCUGUUGAUGCAAGUCACUUAUUCCCCCUUCCUCGCGCCCAGUCAUGGGCGACAUUGACCCCGGUCAAUUUCCCCCGCCUCCCGUUUGGUUAACUUAGCCCCAUCGCAACAGGGCAAGAGCAGGAGGCCAGUCAUGUUUUUCGACAAUGUGGUGAUCGCCGGAGUGCUGACUGUCGGCCUCAUGGUUCUGUUUUUCGCAGGGUUUGGAUUCUUUAUCUGGAAAGACGCGAAUAAGCGCAAGAAGCCUUAAGUCUUUCCAGGGCAACGAGCACGCAAGGCAUUUUGGGCAACUUCGGUUGCCCUUU
rnacentral:sRNA from 15 species